rnacentral:rRNA from 1 species
UACGGGGGGAGCAAACGUUGUUCGGAAUCACUGGGCGUAAAGGGCGCGUAGGCGGCCUGAUAAGUAGGGGGUGAAAUCCUGUGGCUCAACUGCAGGGCUGCCUCCGAUACUCUCGAGCUGGAGGCAGGUAGGGGAGAUCGGAAUUCCUGGUGUAGCGGUGAAAUGCGCAGAUAUCAGGAGGAACACCGGUGGCGAAGGCGGAUCUCUGGGCCUUGCCUGACGCUGAGGCGCGAAAGCUAGGGGAGCGAACAGG